CCCUUAGAUGACCUGGGCCGCACGCGCGCUACACUGAGUGUCUGAGAUACGAGUCUGCCUGGUCCGGCAAGGUCUAGGUAAUCGCUAAAAGACACAUCAUGCUUGGGAUAGAUUAUUGCAAAUAUUAAUCUUGAACGAGGAAUUCCUAGUAAGCGCAAGUCAACAGCUUGCGUUGAUUACGUCCCUGCCCUUUGUACACACCGCCCGUCGCUACUACUGAUUGGAUGUUUAAGCGAGGUUCUCGAACUGCUAGCGACUUAGCUUCGGUGAGGUCGCAGUGUGGGAAGUGAACCUAGCUUUGGUGUCUAGAGGAAGUAAAAGUCGUAACA
rnacentral:rRNA from 1 species